GUACGCAUUUUCGAGCACGCGAUUAAUCGAGGGACUUUAGACCUUUAUUUUUAGACUAUUAAGAGUGAAUAAUAAUAGUAUCAAUGGAAGUGCAUUAGAGGUUUAGUGCACAAAUGAAACAAAGCCGAGAGGAAACGAGCACGAAACGCGCGCGUACGCGCACUAUUCCUAGUUGACUUUUUGAGCAUUGUUGGCCACACAUUCUUAAGCUUCCUCAAGAAGCUUUUGCAGCUGCAACAACUCUCUCUUUCUCACUCAAACAGCCGUGCAUCACCUUGGAGAAGAAGACCAAAAAUUUUCCUUCAUUUCACCUCAUUUUCUUGCACCAAAUCACCUCAAAUUCACACUACACCUUGCAAAUAACUUGGAGAUCAACUUAAGUUAGGAAAGAAACUUCAACCUCACGGUUUUCUUGAGCUUCAAAGGACCAAAAAUUUCUGCUCUAGCAACAUCUAGGAGGCACUCAAGAGGACUUUCAAGAGGAUCCCACGGUGGACGGCUGAAUCCUCAAGUGUGCUUUACUUCUUGAAUUACUUGGUAUGGACAUGGAGCGAAACUCGGAGAAACCCUUUGGAUGUACUUUUAUAUUAGGGUUUUAAAUGUAAUUGAUUAGACAUUGUGGAUGUUGUAUAUUUUGAAAAUUGAUGUAUCUUUUGGGAACCUAGUGUAAGAAUUGGAUAACUGAUGUAUCUUGAACUCGUGGUGUAAGAUUUGGAUAUUCGAUUAUGGAAGCGACUUUUCCUUUA